rnacentral:rRNA from 1 species
GACGAACGCUGGCGGCGUGCCUAACACAUGCAAGUCGAACGAAGUUUCUCUGGUGCUUUCACUAGAAGAGCUUCGCGGGGCACGGGUGUGUAACACGUAAAGUACCCUCCUCAUUGAUUGGGGAUACCCUUGGGAACGAUAGCCUAUUACGGAUAACUGUCUUUCUCUCAUAAGAGAUGUUUAUAAGUUAGUUAUGCUAACACUAUGAGGUGGCCUGGCGGGGUGUUUGCUAGUUGGUGGGGGAAAGGCCCCCCAAGGCGACGAUGGAUAGCCGACCUGAGAGGGUGAUCGGCCACACUGGGACUGAGAGACGGCCCAGACUCCUACGGGAGGCAGCAGUAGGGAAUAUUCGGCAAUGGGCGAAAGCCUGACGGAGCCACGCCGCGUGAGUGAAGAAGGAUUUCGGUUCGUAAAGCUCUGUUGUUAGGGAAGAAAGGAUGCGUGGUAAGUAUACGUGUAAGUGACGGUACCCAACCAAAAAGCCACGGCUAACUACGUG